rnacentral:rRNA from 1 species
GAUCCUGGCUCAGGAUGAACGCUGGCGGCGUGCCUAACACAUGCAAGUCGGAACGGACUUACAUUGAAGCCUAGCGAUAUGUAAGUUAGUGGCGGACGGGUGAGUAACGCGUGGGUAACCUGCCUUGUACUGGGGGACAACAGUUGGAAACGACUGCUAAUACCGCAUAGGCGCACAGCUUCGCAUGAAGCAGUGUGAAAAACUCCGGUGGUACAAGAUGGACCCGCGUCUGAGUUAG